AACAAGGCGUACCUGCGGACCUGCGGAGGGAUCAUUACACAAUAACAUAUGAAGGCUGUACGCGGCUGCGCCCUCGGGCCAGUUGGCUGAGGCUGGAGUAUUUAUUACCCUUGUCUUUUGCGCACUUGUUGUUUCCUGGGCGGGUUCGCCCGCCACCAGGACCACAUGAUAAACCUUUUUUUAUGCAGUUGCAAUCAGCGUCAGUACAACAAAUGUAAAUCAUUUACAACUUUUAACAAC
rnacentral:misc_RNA from 1 species